AACGAACGCUGGCGGCAUGCCUAACACAUGCAAGUCGAACGAGACCUUCGGGUCUAGUGGCGCACGGGUGCGUAACGCGUGGGAACCUGCCCUUAGGUUCGGACUAACUCCCCGAAAGGGGUGCUAAUACCGGAUAAUGUCUUCGGCCCAAAGAUUUAUCGCCUUUGGAUGGGCCCGCGUUGGAUUAGCUAGUUGGUAGGGUAAAAGCCUACCAAGGCGACGAUUCAUAGCUGGACUGAGAGGAUGAUCAGCCACACUGGGACUGAGACACGGCCCAGACUCCUACGGGAGGCAGCAGUGGGGAAUAUUGGACAAUGGGCGAAAGCCUGAUCCAGCAAUGCCGCGUGGGUGAUGAAGGCCUUAGGGUUGUAAAGCUCUUUUACCCGGGAUGAUAAUGACAGUACCGGGAGAAUAAGCUCCGGCUAACUCCGUG
rnacentral:rRNA from 1 species